rnacentral:lncRNA from 1 species
CAUUAACGACCACCUUGGAUUCCUUUGGAAUGGUGUAUCCUCCUAGUUUCGCCUCUUCCAAGUUCAUAUGUGGCACUAACAAUGGAAUUGGGGUGUGCAACCUCAAUGUUUCUUUUACUGUUGCUUGUAAGUAUGGCAAUUCGUGAAGGUUUGAUUCAGUCACUUCCUUUCCUUUUAGGACAUUAGCAAUCUCCUCUCGAAUCUUGUGUUGAAUUUCUGGAUGAUUCACUAGCUCGGCUAUUGCCCAUUCCAUUGACCAUAAUGUUGUUUCUAUCGCUGCCACAUUGAUGUUCUCUACAAUGUAAAUCACAUUCUCUUCACUUAUCUCACCUUUCAUUUGAGCAUCUAUGAUAUGAUCCAUGGCACAAGUUAUCUUGUGUUUAUCUCCAUUAGCAGCCAUUAUUUUCCUGUUAAGAUUUAAUCAAAUCAAUAACGUUAGUUAUAUUCAAUGUAUUGAAUUUGAAAUAAUCGAAGUGGAGAUAACAUAAUGGCUUCAAUUUUACUAACCUUCUUUUUUCCACGUAGUUUUUGUUGAAAAAGUCCAACCUCCUAGUCUGCAAAUCUCUGCACUUGUUCAAGUAACCUCUUAAGAAUGGUCUAAGGAGAGGAAUGAAAUCUCCAUAGUUGUACUCAAAACUCUGUGCUAAUCGACUUCUUUCUGAGUUGAACUUAGUUGCUUCAAUAAACAAAGGAUCAUCCUGAGACUCAAACUUUGCAUCAAACAUCAUUCUAUACAUGAUGUUGUACAACAUCAACUGCAAACGCUUUCUGAUGACUAUCCCUUCAGAUUGAAACUUCUUGUUACUCUUAAGGUCACGAACCACAGAGUCCAUCUCAUCCUCCCACAUGCCACUAUAAUUAUGCACCACUUUAUUUGUAAAAAACGGCAAAGUCAUGAUUCUACGCAUCUUACGCCAAUGGUCUCCAUAAACCGUAAACACCAUAUCCUGACCAUUUCCAGUGAAGAUAUCAAACACAACAUUACGAGGACGAGAGCCAAACUCGACACCCUGAGCAUGGAGAACUUGGCUGGCAAGCUCAGCGUCGGACACAACAACAAGGUUCUUGGAGCCAAGCUUCAAGAGGAAUAUGGAGCCAAAUCUGUCGCAGAAGGAAGCAAGAAGGCGAUGGUUGAGAUCAUUACCAACUUGGAGCCAAUUGCCAAAAAUGGGAAUGGAGAGAGGACCAGGAGGAAGCUUAGAGGAGGAGGCCAUGGAAGAGAUGAUAUAAGUGAGGAGAGGAACAAAAAAGAUAGUUAGUCCAAAAGCAAGUGGAGACAUGGGAAAUAUGAACUUAGUGACAACAGAAACAAGAAGCAUUGAAGAGAGAGAAAAGAAGGCGUUGGAAGCCAUAUGUAAAGAGAGGCGAUUGAGAGAAUGAAAGAAGGGGAAAUGGUUUAUAUAGGUAUUGAUUUUGGGGGUAGGAAGCAAAUCUAUGUGCUUUUUGUAUUGAAAUUGAGAAAAGUAGAAGUGGUUUUUGGUAAGAAAUAUUAGAAUUAAAAAGGUCAAACUUGGGGUUGGUGAUGGUUGGUGAAGCUGUCCUUUGGCAACUGUGAGCAACAAUUUUGGUGCCAAUUUUGACCAUAUUCUGCUUUUGCUCAUUAGACUCAAAAUUCCUCUUUGUCAAUGACUUGAUAAUGAUUGGUUUAGUUAUAUGGUUGCUUUUACUCAUACCUUCACUUUUGGUAUCUUUCCUUAAGCUAAUGUACAAAAAUGGGGAAAACCCUUUGUUUAGUCCAUGCCUCUCUUAUUAGAAACUAUACAAUAACUUAAUUUGUUCCUAAUUUAUAGUUUAUUUAAUGGUUUGGUUUUUCUAUGGUUCUGAAUUUGCAUAACAAUUUAGUACAUUUGUAAACAUUAUUGUUAGGAUUGAAUAUAAUUUAUUAGGAAGUGGGUGAUAAUUAUAAGAGAAUUUAUGGGCAUGAAGGAUUUUCAUAAGUAAUUUUAAAAAUUCAUCUUUACUCAUUUACUUGAAAAUUUUAGGAGUUGAAUUAGAUCAAAUUAUAAAUUUCCCAUAAUAUUAGACAAUUGAAAUUUGAGAAAGGUAUUUAAUUUUAAGAAAAAUAAAUUUGAGUCAUCAUUUUUUGGGUUGAUUUCAACUCUAUCAAAAUAAGCAAAAAAAUAAUCAUAACAUGUAGUAAACAAUAGGUCAUUUGAUUAUAUAAGCUAUCAUAUAUUUUUUUUUCCAAUAGAAAAACAAAAAGAAAGAGAUCCUAUGGUAGUCAUACGAUUAUCGAUUUUGAAAUUUGCUCCUUUUGGAAUUUAGAAAAUGUAGUGACAUGGACUUUACUAUUGUAAUUUUUUUUUGCUAUUUUUGCAAGGGCUCCUUGUAUAAUGUACAUCAUCUGAUCAACUAGAAAAUCCAACCUAAAGGUUUAUAGUACAUGAAUAACGUUUUUUUAGCUAUAGUAUAUUAAUAACAUUUGGUGUCUUAUCUUGAUAACACACUAUAGAUACGACCUACUUUGUAAUUACAAAUAGUUUUAUCUACGGUUACAUUUCUUACAAAUAUUUAUUUAGUUUCUUUUUAGUUUUUUUAGAGAAAAAAUAUAUUCUCUUGAUUUUAGAUAUUAUUAAUCCUUUAGUUGAUAUAUCUUCUUCUCUCACUCAAUUAUAUUUUUAGAAAUACUUUCCCUCAACGACAAGGUUUGCUAAAAUCUUUUAACCAUAUUAUUCUUAAAUGAUCAUUUUUCUUGUCUCUUUGGAAGUUCUUCCUUAUUAUAAAAACCAUAUAUGAUUUUCUUCGAGAAGCUUUCAAGCUACAAUCCGUGAAUAAUUUUUACAAUCGUAAGUCCUUACCUUCUUAGAUAUCUUUUAAUGAAGACCAUAUGAUCUCUUCAAGACCGAUUCAAGUUAUAUAUGAAGAUGAAAGAUUAAGGAAAAUUUUAAUAAUAGAAAGCUUCAAAUCGAGAACUUGAUAUCUAAUCAAUCAUUCAAAUUAGGGUGAGCGUGACUAUUUUCAUUAUAUUCAAAUUACAAUAUAGUUGGAGUCUGACUAUUUUAAUUAAUAAAAUUACUAAAAGAGUACUAAUUUAGGGAGAGCGUCUUCUAGAUUAUUAAAGUAUAAUACUUCUCUUAAUUUUAAUAAAAUCUCCUUAUUUGAGCUGUAAAAACUCUUUAGAAGUAGAUGGAUUCUUACCAAACUAGGUUAUCAAAGUUGGGAUUUUUUUUAAAAAUAAUGUAAAAUUUAAAACAUACUUCAAAAAUAGGCUGUUGCAAAACUAUUUUUAAAAAUAGGUGAUUUGAGGUAAAGUGCGUACCAUGUACACGACUUCAAUGAAGUGGACCCCACCUCUUCUAUUUUUUCUUAUUUAAAUAUAUAUACUACACAGGACCCCACAUUUUUUUAUUUUCUAAUUAUUUAUAUACAUAGGUCCCACACAUUUCACUUUUUUUCUCAUUAUUUAUAUAUAUAUACCCACAUAUAGUAAUAUAUAUAUUCAACAUUCAAAUUCUAAAAAUAUAUUUCUUUAUUAAAUUAAUUUAUUUUUUCUUUAUUUAUAUUUAAAUAUCACAAUCUUCAACUUUUCUUAUUAAAUUCAUUUUUCUAAUUUAAUUUAAUUAUUUCUUAAUCAAAAUUAUUCAUAUUUUUUUUUUCAAUUUUCAAUUUUUUUUAAAAAAACUCAUAUAUUAACAAAAAUAUGUUAUUAAAAAUAUAUUAAACAAAUAAAAAUAGUAACAAGUUGAAAUUACUAAAAAAAAAUAAUAAUAACACUUGUAGCCCACCAAUGCACAUUGGUAAUUGAAUAAAAAAAAUUCAUGUUUAUGGCAAAAGAAAAAAAACAAGAAUUGGUUCGAUUACAAAUUAAAAACUUAACGAAUAAUUUUCGAUUGCAAAUUUGUUAUUAUAUUAUUUUUAGAGUAAGCUUCAACUUCUUUUGUUUAUUAUUAUUAUUUUGUUUUGUUUAAUAUAUUUUUUAAUAACAUAUUUUGUUAAUAUAUGUGUUUUUUAAACCGAAAAUCAGAAAAAAAAAUAUAUAAUUUUGGUUAAGAAAUAAUUAAAUUAAAUUAGAAAAGAUUAAUUAAUAAGAAAAAUUGAAGAUUGAAAUAUUUAAUAUAUAUACGUUAUUUUUUUUAAAUUCAAUUAGUAAUGUGCAUUAUUUAUUUAUUAUUAUUAUUAUUUUGAGUAACUUCAACUUCUUCUAAUUAUUAUUAUUACUAUUUUUAUUUGUUUAAUAUAUUUUUUAAUAACAUAUUUUGUUAAUAUUUGAAUUUUUUUAAAAAAUAUUGAAAAUUGAAAAAAAAAUGUAUAAUUUCGACUAAGUAAUAAUUAAAUUAAAUUAGAGAAAAUAAAUUUAAUAAGAAAAAUUGAAGAUUGAGAUAUUUAAAUAUAAAUAAAGAAAAAAAUAAAAUAAUAAAUUAUUUUAAUAAAAAAAUAUAUUUUUAGAAUUUAAAUGUUUAAUAUAUAUAUUAUUAUAUGUGGGUAUAUAUAUAUAAAUAAUGAGGAAAAAUGAAAUGUAUGGGACCCACAUUAUAAAUAAUUAGAAAAUAGAAAAUUGUGGGGUCUAGUGUAGUAUAUAUAUAAAAAUAAGAAAAAAAAAUAGAAGAGAUGGGGUCCACUUCAGUACACACUUCACCUCAAAUCACCUAUUUUUAAAAAUAGUUUUGCAACAACUUAUUUUUGAAAUAUGUUUCAAAUUUUACAUUACCUUUAAAAAAGAUCCUCAAAGUUGCAAAGUUAUUUUAUCUUUUUGUUCUCUUAGCUAAUUCAUUAGUUGUUAACUAAAGUAACAACUAAAGGUAAAUUACACUAGUUUACUCUUUCAAUUGGUGUUAUAGCGAGUUUCGAUGGAUAUAAUUAAAGGAAUAUCUACGACUCAAUCUACUGUUCUUGAUGACAAAAAUUAUGCAUAUUGGAAGACUUGUAAGGCAGCCUUUUCCCAAAUCAAUUGACAAUUAAACUUGAAAAGUUGUCAUCACUAAAUGCGAAUCACCCUAUUACUAGUGAUGGUAAAACUACAACCAAACCAAAGCUAGAAUGGACUGGCACCGUAGACUAAGUAUAUGACUUUCUACUAGUAAUAGUGAUAGAAGAGAUUGUCACUAACUAUUGAUGGUUGAAUUAUUUAAAGAACUAAAUUAAUUUAAAGAAUUGAUAAGAACUAAAUUAAUUAUUAACUAUUAAUGGUUUUUUUUUAUUAUUAUUAUCAUCGAUAGAUAAUAUAAGAGUAUCACUGAUUAUCAAUAAUAGAAGACUAUCACUUUCUAUAAGACCGACAAUAAUGUUAUCAAUGGUAAAAUGCUACCACUUUCUAACAUUAGUAGACAAUAAUAGAAGACUAUCGUUAUCAAUAAUGGUAGACUAAUUUAAAUAAGUUGACAAAAAAAUACAUUUUUUUUAUGUCUAUUCUAUUGCCGAUAGACAUCGAUAAAAGAUUGCUAUACUCAUACCUAUCACUAGUAGAAGAUGAUCAUAUUCUAUUACUGAUAAACGUUGAUUGACAUUAAGUACACUAAAUAACAACUUAUAUGCAUAUAAGUUCUAAUGCAUAUAGAUGUUGAUCGACAUUGAUUGAUUAGUGAUGUUAAACGACCGUGUAAACUUGAGGAGAGAAAGGUCCUGUACACUUUGUGAAAAAUCAGAAGAGAGAAAGUCGGAAGACCUUCACGUUUCAUGCAGCUUUUUGAAUUCUUUAUUCAAGUGAUCUAACACAUCGUAGCUUCAUUUUCUUAAUUAUGUGAAAAUCUCAAUUGCACAAGUAAAGCAUCCUCAUCGGCCGAUAUAUUGUAGAUGUCAAUUUUUAGAUUUGGAUAGGGGAAAAUGCACCGGACUGACUUUCACAUGGCAACAACGGUAAAUUAUUACUUUUUUUAAAAAAAAGAGACCGAUAAAACAAAGAAAACUAAUUCUAAUAUCAAAGUUAAAGAUCAAAAUAAUAGAAUAAAAGAGUUAGAAGUUUAAGUUACUUCACGUCAAGUUUGAAUGGUGUAUUUAUAGGGGAUUUGAUGGAUAGUUUAUUUUAAUCCCCGUUAGGAUUUCCUAAUCCCUAACGAGAUAGAUCUUAUUUUAUUUUAUUUUAACUUGAAUUUUGGUUUUAUUUUGUGGGGGCUAAAAUUCACCCAUAAGAAUGGACACUGUUUCUUUCAUUUGGAGUUCAAUAAUGUGAAGUGGCAUAUUUAAACAUUUAAUUUUUUUUAGUUAAGCUCCUAUGUUGGUCAAGAGUGUAAAGAUUAGAAAAGAUGAAUACAUGAAAAGGAUGAAUUAUAUAUUUAUCUAAUUAGAAUAAAUUUGUAUUGGAUUUGAUUUCCAUUACGAAUACAAGAUAGAAAAAAAUAAUGCAAUUUAAUUCAAGAAGACAAAAUUAAUAUAAGAAGUAUGAUGAAUAAAAAUUAAGAAGUGAUGGGGUUAAAAACAACGGUUGAAUGGUUGGCGAUAUGCAGACUGAAUUGUCCUCCUUUUUCGGUGACAUCAAUCUUAUUCAUUUCACUGGGAGGCUUCAUUUCAAACUUUGAAACCAACUUGGCAACGAUGAGUCCUAAGAUUGGCAUUGCCAAAACAAUUCCAGGACAACUUCUCCUUCCAACUCCAAAGGGUAAGAAUCGAUAAUCCACUUUUCCUGCAGCAACCGCUUCUGUUCCGCUUUCUUCUUCGAAGAACCUCUCUGGCCUAAACUCCUCUGGAUUUUUCCACCACUCGGGGUUAUUAGCUAGCCACCAUGCAUUAACGACCACCUUGGAUUCCUUUGGAAUGGUGUAUCCUCCUAGUUUCGCCUCUUCCAAGUUCAUAUGUGGCACUAACAAUGGAAUUGGGGUGUGCAACCUCAAUGUUUCUUUUACUGUUGCUUGUAAGUAUGGCAAUUCGUGAAGGUUUGAUUCAGUCACUUCCUUUCCUUUUAGGACGUUGGCAAUCUCCUCUCGAAUCUUGUGUUGGAUUUCUGGAUGAUUCACUAGCUCGGCUAUUGCCCAUUCCAUUGACCAUAAUGUUGUUUCUAUCGCUGCCACAUUGAUGUUCUCUACGAUGUAAAUCACAUUCUCUUCACUUAUCUCACCUUUCAUUUGAGCAUCUAUGAUAUGAUCCAUGGCACAAGUUAUCUUGUGUUUAUCUCCAUUAGCAGCCAUUAUCUUUCUGUUAAAAUUCGACAAAUCAAUCAUGUUAGUUACAUACUAUUGAAUUUAAAAUGAAAACAGAAAGUAGAGAAAAUAUAAUAACUUUUCUAUUACCUUCUUUUCUCAACAUAGUUUUUGUUGAAAAAUUCCAACCGCCUACUCUGCAAAUCCCUACACUUGUUCAAGUAGCCUCUCAAGAAGGGUCUGAGUAGAGGAAUAAAAUCUCCAUAGUUGUACUCAAAGCUUUGUGCCAAUCGACUCCUUUCUGAGUUGAAUCGAGUUGCUUCGAUGAACAAAGGAUCAUCCUGAGACUCAAACUUUGCAUCAAACAUCAUUCUAUACAUGAUGUUGUACAACAUCAACUGCAAACGCUUUCUGAUGACUAUCCCUUCAGAUUGAAACUUCUUGUUACUCUUAAGGUCACGUACCACAAAGUCCAUCUCAUCCUCCCACAUACCACUAUAAUUAUGCACCACUUUAUUUGUAAAAAAUGGCAACGUCAUGAUUCUUCGCAUCUUACGCCAGUGGUCUCCAUAAACCGUAAACACCAUAUCCUGACCAUUUCCAGUGAAGAUAUCAAACACAACAUUACGAGGACGAGAGCCAAACUCGACACCCUGAGCAUGGAGAACUUGGCUGGCAAGCUCGGCAUCAGACACAACUACAAGGUUCUUGGAGCCAAGCUUCAAGAGAAAUAUGGAGCCAAAUCUGUUGCACAAGGAAGCAAGUAAACGAUGGUUGAGAUCAUUACCGACUUGGAGCCAAUUGCCAAAAAUGGGAAUGGAGAGAGGGCCAGGAGGAAGCUUAGAGGAGGAGGCCAUGGAAGAGAUGAUAUAGGUGAGGAGAGGAACAAGGAAGAUAGUUAGUCCAAAAGCAAGUGGAGACGUGGGAAAUAUCAAUUUAGUAACAACAGAAACAAGAAUCAUUGAAAAUAGAGAAAGUAAGGCAUUGGAAGCCAUUGUCUUUAGAGAUUCAGAUCCAAAGACAGGUGAUUGAGAGCUUGAAAGGUGGGGGAAUGGUUUAUAUAGGUAAGUGAUUUUUGUGGGUAAGAGGCAAAUCUGUGUGCUUAUAAGUGAAAAAUAGAAGUGGUUUCUGGUGAGAAUUAUUUGAAUGAAAAGGUCAAAAUUUGGGGUUGGUAAUUGGUAAUGGUUGGUGAAGCUGCCUUUGGCAACUAUAAGCAAAUAAAUAAUGUGUCAAUUUUGACCAUAUUCAACUUUGGCCCUUUGACUCAAACCGCAGCUUUGUGCAUAUAUUUUUUAUAUCUCAAUGAGAGAGAGUUGGUUUUCUUUAAUAAUGAUUGGUUUAGUUGUGUGGCUGCUUUUUAUGAUGCAUUGUCUUUCCGCAUCUUUCCUUAAGCUAUUCUACAAAAAUGGGGAAAAGACAUGUUUAGUUCAUGUAAUUUGAGAAAGAACAAUAAUUUAGUGCAUAAUUAUGGUUUAAUUAAUUUUAAUUUUUCUCACUAUUUAGUCUAUAACCUUAAAAUUAUCGUUAAGAUUGCAUAUUGGGAAGUAAAUAGGUGUUAACAAGAAAUAAACUCUAAAUAUAUCUCAACUAAACAAACUUUAGAUGAUAUAUUUAAUUUCAAAAUUCCAACUUUUUGGUGGAGAAUAUAUAUUUUACACUAUCGAGGCUCUUUCAUUUGUUUUAAUUAAGUUUCUUUUGUUUUGUUAAAACUAAAAAAAGAAAAAAAAUUAAAAAUUACGUGAUGGGAUGUGAUUCAAACCUUAACGUAUAAACACCUUAUCUUAGGAAAAAAUAUACUUUUCAGAUUAUAUGAUUGAUUAAGUCUUUGAAUUAAUAAUUAUAUUAAUUAUAAGUUUUAAAAGUGUACUAAGACUUUGUACUCUCCCUCACAUUUUCAUUUAGAUAAACAUGGUAGAUAAGACUUUAAUUUUAUUGCUUUAACCCUUAAGCCUUCACUAAUCUAAGCUCUCGGUUAGGGUUUUCUCACCGUCAUGUAUUAGUUCUAAUACCGUCUAUUUUAUUAACAAUUGAUAUUUGAAAAAGUUCACCCACAUCUAAGAAUUGGUGCAUGAAUAAUGCUCUUUAGAGACAAUAUUAAUAAUAUAUUUAUAUCGAUUAACUUACGGCAAUUUAUGAAUUUAUAAAUUGACUCAAAUUAUAAAUGUUGCACGAUAUCAGUCAAUUGAAAAUAGAUGAGAAAAUAAAUUGAUACAUAACAUAAGGAUAAAGGCAGUCCAUGGACAUUUUUCCAGUCUUGAAGUUAAUAACUAGAAAAUCUAUCGGUAUCUAUAGACAAUGAUAUUUUGUUAUAUUUAAAAAUAUUUUGAUAUACUAAAAAAAACCAACCCUAAUAUUUAUAUUUUGAUUAUUAUUGUUGUGAAAAAUGUGUUAAAAUGUAUUCUAUAAGAAAAAAAGACUUUUUAGGUAUCUUUCCAUAAAAUGUAAUUUUAAUUAGGGAAAAGUUAGAUGAAUAUUUCUCUUAGUAGGCCGUACAACAACCCAUUAUUGAAAAUAAAAGCAUUUGACCACAAUGGGUCGUUUGUAUUUAUACAAUGACACAUUAUUACUUUACCAAAAAAUCAAAUUAGGAAAAGAGAAGAAAAAAAACAUAGAGAAAGAUCCUAUUGUAUAUAUCCCUUAAAAAUCACCAUGUUAGGAGAGGAAAAGUUAAAGAGAUUAAUCCAUUUCAUAGGGGAAAAGUGAUCGUAAAUGAAAAAAUUGAUAAAUAAAUAUUUAUAAAAUAUAGUAAAAAUUCGCAUGAUAAACAUUAAUAGAAAAAAAAAACUCUAUUUUAGGAAUAUUUUGAUUCAUUUUAUUGUAUUUAAAAACUGUUUCUUAAUUAAUUUUAGGUAGUUUUAACGAAUUUAUUAAUGCUUAAUGAUUUUUUAAAGAUAUUCUCGAAAUGUUUCUAAACUUUGUAUCGUGUUCUAUUUUGUUUUCUAAACUUUUAAAAUUAUAUAUUUUUAGUUUAUUAACUUCUAAAAAAAUGUAUUUUGAUCCUUGCCAUCAGGUUCAUAAACUAGGGUUUUAAUUUUUAAUUAAGAUCAUAUGAAAAAUUAUUUUUUAUUGGAGAAUUCAAAAUGUCGCUUUGAUUUUGAUCAUCCUCAUUUUGAAGCAUUGGCAUUCUACUCAUAUGAGUUGUACAUUUUUUUUUAUUAUUGUUAUUUUACAUUGUCAUAUAUGUUAAUACCAAUAUAUGUUCGUUCUAUUUUUUUUCUAUUAUAGUCAAAUUUUCUUUUGAUUUGCUUCAAGGUUCCAAUUUACAAAAUAAUAAUAAUAAUAAAGGGUGGAAGAGUCCGAGACAGAUGUGAGAAGUUUGAGUUUUAGAGAACAAAAAAGAACAAAAGUAGAUUUUAAAUAUUAAUUUUUAUAAAUGUGUUGAUUAAGUUUCUAUCUUGGUUAUUUAUCAAUUUAGAUAAUAUGAUAAACCUAAACCCUAAGAUUCAUCCAAAUAUAGAAGUCAUAUCAUCAUUUCGUUAAGGUUAAAAGAAUUAACGGAACUCUAACGAAUGAGACAGAAGUAGGUUUUUUCAAAAAGUUUGGAAACUAAAGCAUACCUGUUUAAAAAUUGAAGGGACCAAAAUAAAGAAACCAAAAUAGGAUUUUAACCUUAAUUAAAUAACGACCAAAUUGGAUGUGAUACUAAAUUUCUUUUGUUGGCACAUCAAAUACUCUUUCUUUUUUAGAUUUCAACACCAUCAUUUCAUACCUCAAAAUUCUAAAGAAUUUUAACCUCGAUUCAACCUUCCUUUUAAAACAUUUGUAGACGUUUAAGUAUAGAGAUAUUUUUAAAACAAAUUACAACUUCUACUUUAACCCAUUUUUUAAAAUUUGUGGUGAGGAAAGAAAACUAUGUUGAGGUUUUGGAAAAACAAUUGAGGCCGAAAGAUUAAAAGAGCUGGUCAUUAAUUGGAAAAUUUACAACACACAUUUUUAGAUUUUUGAACUUUAUUUUAACUAAAUUUUAUGAAAAGUGUUUAAAUAAAAAUAAAUUUUUUAAAAACACUUUUUUUCAUGCAAUCAAUUUAAUGUUUAUUUAUUUGAGUCAAUUAGAAAAUUUAUAGGAUUGUUGGUAUGAAAACUCCUUUCAUUUCUAGAGAGUCAUAUAUCAACUUUUAUAAGCAGUAGGAUGCAUGGAAAUUAGAAAUUGUUUAUAAAAGCAAAUAUAUAUAUAUAUAUAUAUAUAAUAUAUAUAUAUAUAUAUAUAUAUAUAUAUAUAUAUAUACACAUAUAUAUGUAUGUAUAUGUAUAUGUAUGUAUGAAUGUAUAUGUAUAUAUGUAUAGAAAAUAUUCAAAUUAAAAAAGCAACAAUCAUACCACAAAAUUUAUUUGGCAAAUGUUUCUAAUCAAAAGACAUAACUUUUGGUGGGACUUAGGAGAUUGAAUAAUCUCUUGAUUGGUUUGAGAGAGUUUGUAUUAUUGAGUUUAAACAUAGGACACAAGCCUUCUUUAUUAUAGGUUGACAUAAUAAAUGCUAAUAAACUAGAAUACUAACAACAUCUCACCACCUUAAAAUUACAAUUAAUAAAACACUUAGCUAUAUAUUUUGGGAAGAAUAAAUUUGUAUUGAAUUUGAUUUUGUUACAAUACAUGAUUAGAAAAAAAAGAUCUAAUUAAUUCCAUCCAAGAAGAUAAAAAUACGUGGGCACUAUGUUUAUAGAAAAAUUAAAUAGUAAUGGGGUUAAAAACAACGGUUGAAUGGUUGGCGAUAUGCAAACUGAAUUGUCCUCCUUUUUCGGUGACAUCAAUCUUAUUCAUUUCACUGGGAGGCUUCAUUUCAAACUUCGAAACCAACUUGGCAACGAUGAGUCCUAAGAUUGGCAUUGCCAAAACAAUUCCAGGACAACUUCUCCUUCCAACUCCAAAGGGUAAGAAUCGAUAAUCCACUUUUCCUGCAGCAACCGCUUCUGUUCCGCUUUCUUCUUCGAAGAACCUCUCUGGCCUAAACUCCUCUGGAUUUUUCCACCACUCGGGGUUAUUAGCUAGCCACCAUGCAUUAACCACCACCUUGGAUUCCUUUGGAAUGGUGUAUCCUCCUAGUUUCGCCUCUUCCAAGUUCAUAUGUGGCACUAACAAUGGAAUUGGGGUGUGCAACCUCAAUGUUUCUUUUACUGUUGCUUGUAAGUAUGGCAAUUCGUGAAGGUUUGAUUCAGUCACUUCCUUUCCUUUUAGGACGUUAGCAAUCUCCUCCCGAAUCUUGUGUUGAAUUUCUGGAUGAUUCACUAGCUCGGCUAUUGCCCAUUCCAUUGACCAUAAUGUUGUUUCUAUCGCUGCCACAUUGAUGUUCUCUACGAUGUAAAUCACAUUCUCUUCACUUAUC